AAUGGAGGCAACUCUGAUCCAGCAAUGCCGCGUGUGUGAUGAAGGCCCUAGGGUUGUAAAGCACUUUCAACGGUGAGGAUGAUGACGGUAGCCGUAGAAGAAACCCCGGCUAACUCCGUGCCAGCAGCCGCGGUAAUACGGAGGGGGUUAGCGUUGUUCGGAAUUACUGGGCGUAAAGCGCGCGUAGGCGGAUUAGAAAGUUGGGGGUGAAAUCCCGGGGCUCAACCCCGGAACUGCCUCCAAAACUGCUAGUCUAGAGUUCGAGAGAGGAAAGUGGAAUUCCGAGUGUAGAGGUGAAAUUCGUAGAUAUUCGGAGGAACACCAGUGGCGAAGGCGGCUCACUGGCUCGAUACUGACGCUGAGGUGCGAAAGUGUGGGGAGCAAACAGGAUU
rnacentral:rRNA from 1 species